CAGUAGCCACGGUAAUACGUAGGUGGCAAGCGUUGUCCGGAAUUAUUGGGCGUAAAGGGCUCGCAGGCGGUUUCUUAAGUCUGAUGUGAAAGCCCCCGGCUCAACCGGGGAGGGUCAUUGGAAACUGGGAAACUUGAGUGCAGAAGAGGAGAGUGGAAUUCCACGUGUAGCGGUGAAAUGCGUAGAGAUGUGGAGGAACACCAGUGGCGAAGGCGACUCUCUGGUCUGUAGCUGACGCUGAGGAGCGAAAGCGUGGGGAGCGAACAGGAUUAGAUACCCCAGUAGUCCCUGUCUCUUAUAC
rnacentral:rRNA from 1 species